GUAAUGAGGCAGAGCGGGGGAAUUGAAACAUCUAAGUACCCCGAGGAAAAGAAAUCAACCGAGAUUCCCCCAGUAGCGGCGAGCGAACGGGGAGGAGCCCAGAGCCUGAAUCAGUGUGUGUGUUAGUGGAAGCGUCUGGAAAGGCGCGCGAUACAGGGUGACAGCCCCGUACACAAAAAUACACAUAUUGUGAGCUCGAUGAGUAGGGCGGGACACGUGGUAUCCUGUCUGAAUAUGGGGGGACCAUCCUCCAAGGCUAAAUACUCCUGACUGACCGAUAGUGAACCAGUACCGUGAGGGAAAGGCGAAAAGAACCCCGGCGAGGGGAGUGAAAAAGAACCUGAAACCGUGUACGUACAAGCAGUGGGAGCACGCUUAGGCGUGUGACUGCGUACCUUUUGUAUAAUGGGUCAGCGACUUAUAUUCUGUAGCAAGGUUAACCGAAUAGGGGAGCCGAAGGGAAACCGAGUCUUAACUGGGCGUUAAGUUGCAGGGUAUAGACCCGAAACCCGGUGAUCUAGCCAUGGGCAGGUUGAAGGUUGGGUAACACUAACUGGAGGACCGAACCGACUAAUGUUGAAAAAUUAGCGGAUGACUUGUGGCUGGGGGUGAAAGGCCAAUCAAACCGGGAGAUAGCUGGUUCUCCCCGAAAGCUAUUUAGGUAGCGCCUCGUGAAUUCAUCUCCGGGGGUAGAGCACUGUUUCGGCAAGGGGGUCAUCCCGACUUACCAACCCGAUGCAAACUGCGAAUACCGGAGAAUGUUAUCACGGGAGACACACGGCGGGUGCUAACGUCCGUCGUGAAGAGGGAAACAACCCAGACCGCCAGCUAAGGUCCCAAAGUCAUGGUUAAGUGGGAAACGAUGUGGGAAGGCCCAGACAGCCAGGAUGUUGGCUUAGAAGCAGCCAUCAUUUAAAGAAAGCGUAAUAGCUCACUGGUCGAGUCGGCCUGCGCGGAAGAUGUAACGGGGCUAAACCAUGCACCGAAGCUGCGGCAGCGACGCUUAUGCGUUGUUGGGUAGGGGAGCGUUCUGUAAGCCUGCGAAGGUGUGCUGUGAGGCAUGCUGGAGGUAUCAGAAGUGCGAAUGCUGACAUAAGUAACGAUAAAGCGGGUGAAAAGCCCGCUCGCCGGAAGACCAAGGGUUCCUGUCCAACGUUAAUCGGGGCAGGGUGAGUCGACCCCUAAGGCGAGGCCGAAAGGCGUAGUCGAUGGGAAACAGGUUAAUAUUCCUGUACUUGGUGUUACUGCGAAGGGGGGACGGAGAAGGCUAUGUUGGCCGGGCGACGGUUGUCCCGGUUUAAGCGUGUAGGCUGGUUUUCCAGGCAAAUCCGGAAAAUCAAGGCUGAGGCGUGAUGACGAGGCACUACGGUGCUGAAGCAACAAAUGCCCUGCUUCCAGGAAAAGCCUCUAAGCAUCAGGUAACAUCAAAUCGUACCCCAAACCGACACAGGUGGUCAGGUAGAGAAUACCAAGGCGCUUGAGAGAACUCGGGUGAAGGAACUAGGCAAAAUGGUGCCGUAACUUCGGGAGAAGGCACGCUGAUAUGUAGGUGAAGUCCCUUGCGGAUGGAGCUGAAAUCAGUCGAAGAUACCAGCUGGCUGCAACUGUUUAUUAAAAACACAGCACUGUGCAAACACGAAAGUGGACGUAUACGGUGUGACGCCUGCCCGGUGCCGGAAGGUUAAUUGAUGGGGUCAGCGCAAGCGAAGCUCUUGAUCGAAGCCCCGGUAAACGGCGGCCGUAACUAUAACGGUCCUAAGGUAGCGAAAUUCCUUGUCGGGUAAGUUCCGACCUGCACGAAUGGCGUAAUGAUGGCCAGGCUGUCUCCACCCGAGACUCAGUGAAAUUGAACUCGCUGUGAAGAUGCAGUGUACCCGCGGCAAGACGGAAAGACCCCGUGAACCUUUACUAUAGCUUGACACUGAACAUUGAGCCUUGAUGUGUAGGAUAGGUGGGAGGCUUUGAAGUGUGGACGCCAGUCUGCAUGGAGCCGGCCUUGAAAUACCACCCUUUAAUGUUUGAUGUUCUAACGUGGACCCGUGAUCCGGGUUGCGGACAGUGUCUGGUGGGUAGUUUGACUGGGGCGGUCUCCUCCUAAAGAGUAACGGAGGAGCACGAAGGUUGGCUAAUCCUGGUCGGACAUCAGGAGGUUAGUGCAAUGGCAUAAGCCAGCUUGACUGCGAGCGUGACGGCGCGAGCAGGUGCGAAAGCAGGUCAUAGUGAUCCGGUGGUUCUGAAUGGAAGGGCCAUCGCUCAACGGAUAAAAGGUACUCCGGGGAUAACAGGCUGAUACCGCCCAAGAGUUCAUAUCGACGGCGGUGUUUGGCACCUCGAUGUCGGCUCAUCACAUCCUGGGGCUGAAGUAGGUCCCAAGGGUAUGGCUGUUCGCCAUUUAAAGUGGUACGCGAGCUGGGUUUAGAACGUCGUGAGACAGUUCGGUCCCUAUCUGCCGUGGGCGCUGGAGAACUGAGGGGGGCUGCUCCUAGUACGAGAGGACCGGAGUGGACGCAUCACUGGUGUUCGGGUUGUCAUGCCAAUGGCACUGCCCGGUAGCUAAAUGCGGAAGAGAUAAGUGCUGAAAGCAUCUAAGCACGAAACUUGCCCCGAGAUGAGUUCUCCCUGACCCUUUAAGGGUCCUGAAGGAACGUUGAAGACGACGACGUUGAUAGGCCGGGUGUGUAAGCGCAGCGAUGCGUUGAGCUAACCGGUACUAAUGAACCGUGAGGCUUAACCUUACAACGCCGAAG
rnacentral:rRNA from 1 species